GCUGGGGUUCUACUUUAAAGUCGUGGUCGUGGACAAUUUGGGAUUUAUUAAGGAAUUUUUGUAGUUGCUAGGCUGUGGUUCUAUGUGCUGAGGAGGGAGGCGUUGCUGCUCAUGCUGCUGUUGCUGGAGUCCUCACUUUAUUUGUUAAGACUAUGUAAUGACCGAAUGAUGUUAUUUGUUUGUGUCAUCCUUGACUCUUUACCUACCGCAUGUAAUCCUGCAAUCGGUACUUUUAAUGCUAUCGUUAUUAAAAACUGUUUACUCAUGUUUUAGCAAUAACCUAUCCUUAUUAGUCAAAGGGAGUAUUUAUCUACUUAUGACCACUCGCAUGUUGCUAUUUGGGUUUCAGGAUUAUACUUUCUGAAAUUCCUAUUCUCUGUACUGAGUGAAACUAAUAUACUGGGUUACCUGUAAAUCCUGUCAGUGUAACUUGAAAAGGAUUCUCAUCCUCCCAGAGAGAGUAAAUAGAGAUGGUGAAAUGUCAUCCUAGUUGUUAGGACGGAGCUCAUCAGAUCUUUUCCCCCUUUCACACCAUUUUGUUAGCGUUGUGCUUGAGUGAGAGGCUACUGAUAGCGCUGCUGACCCUUCCCAAACCUUGGACGCCUGCUGAACCUCGUCUGGUUGCAGCUGGGUGUUGUGCCGAUUCCAGCUUGGCCUGUGCUGGUUGCAGCAUCUCGGCCUGUCCCUGCAACCCUCUGCUUGCUGCCCCUUGCAGAACCUCGUCGUGUGCAGCUGGACGUUGUGCUGAUGCUUAACCUGUGCAGCUUGCAGCUGUGCUGGUUGCAGCAUCUCAGCUUGUCGCUUGCAGCUGGUUACAACAUCCCCCAUGACGUAGCAGUGGCUCAGGCGCUUUGCAGUAAAACUUCUCGCAGGGAAAAACCGCCACCGUUGCGGAUUCCUCCAGCAAAAAUUGUCGCCUGUCAAAGAAAAAAGCAGCAAUGUUGCGGAUCACUAGCAAAAUCAGUCACCCGUUCGAGCAAAAAAUGUCACCGGUCGCAGCAAAAUUGUCUGUCACAACAAAAAGCACCACCGAUCGACCUGGCGGUGUUAACCAAGCACAUGUUUGAUCCCUUUAACAUAAGGGGUAAGAGUCCGACGGUGUGCCAAUCAUCACCAUUAGCCACCUGGAAUGCGAGGAGGUAAUUUGUUGCCCAAAAUCUCAGGGUCCGCUUCCGUUGUACUUGUCCAUCGUGUUUAUCUUAAAGCUGGAUGCGAACUUGUAGCAGACGAUCUCGUACAUCAAGAUCCCUUCUUAGUUUGGCAUGAUGAUGUGCUAUUCGUGUCACCGGUUGUCCUGAUGUGACUCUUACAUGGCCAUCCUGCUGGAUCAUCGCCGUCUUCAGAUAUUCCAUCCCUUCUUGCUUGAACCUCCGCUUGUCCGGAUGCCCUUUUUGGGAACUGUGUCAUGACCAGGGCUCCCGCCGCUACCUGUAUAUCCUUAGCUGGAGUGUGAUAGGACUCUGGGCCCUCCUGGAUCAAUGGCGUUCACGAGCGCCUCUUUCACUCGUCUACUUUCCAUGGCUAGGGAGGCCUUGUCCUCUGCCGGCAUGGUCUUUCCGAUGGGAUGGCAAAACCGGAACAGCUCCUCGCUGCGUCCAGGCCCGCCGCCCUCCUCUCCAAGCGUCUCUUCUCCUUGGAAACCUUGACGAGAGCCGACAAGGCUUUCAUCCGGACUUCGUCUUGCUCCUCAUCUUCUAGGAUCGCUCCAUCAAGUGCUUCAAUAUCCCUAUCGCUAAAUUCUGACACCUCGUCGCUUUCCUCCUGGCUUGGAUCUAGCGUGUCUACUACAUAGCAGGACUGGACCGAGGUCGCCUGCCACGUGCAAAGAGGCACCACGGCUCAUGGUGGGCUAACUCCUCAUUCCCCUCGAGGAUGUUGGUGAGAUCUUCAACGUUGGCGAUUAAGUGGGUUGUGAGCAGAUCAAUUUUUUGGCAUGCUGCUCUUGGGCCUGGAAUGACGUCAGACCUUGGAGAAGGAGCUCGCCGCGUGAAUCCGCGACGUACUCUAGAUUGCUUAAUUGAACAAUCCAGCCUAGGGUGCAGCUCUCAACUUGGCCCAAGCGACCGGUCGAGUCGGCGACAAAGGUCAUGGCGCCGAAAAAGAAGAUUUGACCUGACGUGUAGAUCGUGUCGUCGUCAACUAGCGAUCCCAUCUGAUCACUAAGUUCACAGAUCCCUCAAUAGGGUAUCCUAGUGAGGUGAGUAAAUCAGGGGGGAAACAUGAGACAGAUUUACCCAGGUUCAGGCCCUUCUUACAAGGUAAAACCCUAUUGUGUUACGGUGUAGAAAGUACAUGUAUUACUCAAGGGAUUGUAUGUUUUCUAUCGACUAGCUCGACCCCGGCUUAUAUGAGAUAUCGGGGCCCCUAGAGUUACAUGGACCUAGUCGACUAUGCUGGUGGAGGGGAGUCCUUCAUGUCUCUGGCUUCCUUAUCUUAUGGGCUAAGGGAGAAGGAGGUCAAGAUGCACUGAUCAUCAAGGAAAAUAGAGCUAUGAAAGAUGGUGCAGGGGUAACCCUCUUCCGCCAUGAACGUCGUGGGUCAAAUGUAGAUGCUCACAAUAUAGAAAAAGCUCUAGUCUUAUCACCAGGUAGGCAUGUCUAGUUGCUUGAGCCCCCGGGCUACGUAAACUCUAUGAUUGAUUAUUAAAGCUCGGGUUUGUUAUUCUUAAAAAAUGUUUUGGAGCAUUGUUUUUCCCCAGGUCUCCACGAAUGUCAUUCCAUCGCGAAAAUUUGCACGCAUGUGAAAUAUACAUCGAUGUUUGUUGCUAAAAAAAUUCAGAUUUUUUUUAUUUUUUACAAAUUUUUCUUACUGUUCCAAAUGGUAUAUGUGAGCUCGUGCUCACAAACUUCAUGUCCCAUUCUAACAAAUCAACUCUCAGGUUGCAAAAAAAACCCCAUUUACGUUGAUUUCUUCCUCUGUGAAUUGAGUGUUCCAAAUAAUAGACAACUCUACAUUUGGUCUUAUAGGAAUGAUAAUAGAUGGGAGUACAUCUCUUCAGAAUACUACUAGGAAAGGAGCACAUGUGUUGCAACGGGGUAAUUAAAUUAUGGUCUUCAAAUUGAGUGACCCAUAACAUAAUACCUAUAAUGAUUACAAAUAAUAUACAACUCACACUGUUAAUUCAAAUCAAUAACAAGGUAUGAGGUCAAUGAACCAAAAUGAAUCAAACAGAUUAAGUGGUCGAUAUGUAUAAGGUCAAUGAAACCAUCGAGAGUGACAACUACAAGCUCAACGCACCGUGAGGCUUGAGUUCUCUUAUUUAUUGCAGACAUGUGUAGCUACUAACAUAAUUAGGCCAUCGUUAUUAGGGGUAGUAGUGCAUAGUCUUCUUCAUAGAUUGUGAUUUUGUGAAAUACUCUCGCAGUACAUUGUCUUGUUACACCAUCCUGUGCCGUCGUCAAGUCCUAAUCGGAAGCAAUGUUCAGCUGAUAAGAGCUCUACGAGAAAGUAAUGACAAUCAAGCUGGCAUUGUAUUGGUGCUCAUAAAUCACACAUACAGUUGGCCUCUCCACACAAAUAUGCAGGACACAAAAAACAAGUGCUAUCAUUAAUUGACUACUGGAUACUAGUUUGUAUACAAUAAAUCAGUAUAAAAAAACACAGGCAAGUGGAGAAAAUAUGAAGCUAUGUUGUUGCUCCUCCUCACUAACAUUGGUGACUUGGCUGUCUUCAUUUAGAUUUCCCAAGAUAAUUUCUGAUGGCCCUUCUGAUGCACCAACUCAAAAUUACAAGAAAUACCACAUCCUUCUGCUUGUCGGUCUCGGAAUUGGUGCAACUCCUUUCGUCAGCAUACUGAAGGAUGUCCUUAACAACAUAAAGUCCAAUAAAGUAACAUAGUCACUGAAUGUUCUUCCUCAUACAUGAGUAGAGAUGCACAAUGGCUAAAAUGAAUUGGAUUCUACAAGAGCAGCAAAGCAUGCAUGACGUCGAGUUAGGCAGCACCUUCAACUUCAAGGGCAACGUGCCAAGCCGAGCAUACAUGUAUUGGGUUACCACUUACCAGAGACCAAGCGGCUCGUUUGAACGGUUCAGAGGUGUCAUAGGUGAAGUUGCUGAAAGUGAUAACGGUGUACUAGUCAGCCGUAACAGUUUCAGAUACACCAUGGUUGCCUGCAAAAAGUUUCAGAUACAUCAUGGUUAAUUGCUUGCUUCCUUUCCUAACUGCUACUUCAAGAUCUGCACACACUUUGCAAGGCCAAACUGAAGAAAGGUUAGUCACAUUUGAUUAUUACUACAGUAUUAUUUUUGGCUGCGCGCCUGAUUAAAAUCUAAGUGACGAAUCCCACUUUAUACAUUACAAAAAAAGACACUGUAUACUAAGAUGACGCCGCAUAAGUCUGCAGGUGUUUUCACCCUCUGCCUCCUCCUCUUACCGGCUCUCAUCAGCGGCAUGCAAAAGGGGAGAGGCGGCUGUAGCGACGUAUCCCGGCCGGACCCGUGCGUGUUGGAGGCCUGGAAGGUGAUCGGAUCGGAUCUAGAGUCCGUGGAGGAGACUUGCUCGGAUACACAAACUUUGCACAGAGUUCCAUUACGAUUAAUGGGUGGCCUUGCCGGACCCGGACACGGGCUCCCCAUGAACCGCCCUCCUUUUGCCACAUAAAUAGGCUUCGAGCCCUCUACGGAAGCAUCCAAUCUCCCGGUCCUUCAAUCUCGCCGCUCCACCACUCCGCCGGCCGCCCGUGCUCCAUACGCCGUCGUACAAUCUCGCCGUUCUACCAACAUCGCCGGACCGCCGUGCUCCACCUGAGGUACGCCCGAUCUCGUGCCAAGCUGAAUUCUGUCCUGUCGAUGCUGAGAAGUCAUGAUCUUUCAUGUGUGUCUGCGCUCUGCAACCAUAGCUGCCAUCGUCAUUACCUUGCACCUAUACGGACAGUCUGCACUCUUUAGGCCUCAUAGAUUAGCCACAAAGUAGGCUAUACACACACUGGAGAGUAGGAGUACUUCAUAGUGGCGCCUGGUAGUUCCAAUAUCUGGAGAAAAUACCUGUCCAAUCUUCUGCUUUGGACUCUGCUUGAGUUCACUUUUCCAAAGCUCGCUACGGUACUGGAUACUGGAAGGCCAAUUUGGCUAAAGGCAGAGAAUAGUUCAAAAGAGAGAAUAUAUGCCAUGCUCUCUAUUACCUGAUCAGGUUUCAUCUUAAAUUGUGGUGAUUCUGUUCUAUGCAAUAUUAUUUGCUAUGUUCUGGCAUUGAUUCUCUGUUAUGGCUGACGCGUGUGUCAAGGCUAAUAAGAACUAUUUUUACCCAAUGGUAAAUUUACUGAACAAGCUCCUGUCUUAUCCCCAUCGUCUGUCUUAAGGCUAAUCUAUUCAUGGUUAGUUUUCCUUGCUGUACAAAGGUCAUCGUUCAUUCGCUCUUUUGUACUAUGUUCUUCUUCUCUUUCCUUUACAGUAAAACAUAGACCAUGCUUCCAUUGUUGCAACUUGCAACUAGUUCCAGGUUUGCUCGUGGGUGUCAUUUGAGGUCAGAGUAAAUAUUUUGGUAGUGUGCCAACUAUAGGCACACUCGGUCGAAAUCCAAAAAAUCCAGUAGCUUAUGCAGCCUAUAAUUAGCUUUUACAUAUUAAUUAGUAGCUGAUUUCUGUCAAAAUGAAUAGAUGGACACCCUCUAUUUACAAUAUUAUUAUAAUUUUCUCCCUGUUUGAUUGAACUCCAUGCUGAUUACACCUUCACACAAUAUAAGAUAUUGUUUGAGCAAUCUGACUGUGGGAUGUUCAGGUUGUUAUUGCAGAAAAUGAAUGACAGCGCUGACUUGACCAUUGUUGUGGAUUUUGAUAACCGACCUUCAAAAAAAGCCAAUUUUUCUGAAUCGGAUCUUUUGGAGCCAUCACCUACGUCACCAACCAUCUGACAUCAUCUCUGGUUUUUGAAUGUUUUGAAUCGAUUGUUCUGGAAUCAGAUAGAUGUUGAUCCAUUGCCAUGACCACCGUCACCAACCAGCUCGACAUUACCUCCAGUUUCUGAAUGUAUGAAUGAAAGAAAAGUUUAAUCGAUGAUGAUAAGUAACCAGAUGAAUAUGAACAAAUAAAAGUUGAUGAAACAUACAACUAGCUCCCACUAGAUAAUUGUUUGAUUUAUGAUGUGUACUUUUGUAUCUAGCAUCCUCCUUUUUAUUAUUUAAUAUUAUUAUUUGUGUAUGUGCACGGUUAAUCCAUAUUUACACAUGGAUUUAUUCGAUAUUUUUUCAAAUUAUUUUACUUUUUGCAGAUUAUGCACUGACCAACAGUGAUGUAUGUGCUCAUAUAUCAAUAGAAACAUCUUUUGAAAAAACGAUUACAGGUGAAGAUAGAUGAAAUAUCUGUCAAACAACAUCAAUUGGUGUGCGUGUUAGAUAAAAAAGGGUGGCUAAACGAUGAUGUAAGUACCCUUUCUUACAAGAAUGUCCAAUUAUUGAUAUCCAUUAGUAAUGUCUUUUUCAAAAUCUUUUUAUGUAAUCAGUGCAUAUGUAUGUUGUAUAGAGGACCAAGUACAUGUUCAAAAUGAUAGUAAAGUAUAUUUUCAGAAUCCUUUUGUUACCGCAUCGUUAAUACGGUAUGUCAACCUUGGUAUAUAUAUGAAGAUGGUACCUUUAUGAAAAAGAUUGUAAAAAACUAUGUGAAGCAUGACAUUGUAACAUCCAUAUCCUUUAUUUUCCAUGUUCCGGGUUUAAUACAUAUUUAUUAGUAAUUUUACUAAUUAUUUUGAUUAUAGAAUGAACUUCCAAUAAAUAUGAACAACACACAUUGCUAUUUAACUGUUGGGGACGCAAAAAAUUGUGAGAUUACAGUACUUGACUCAUUGUGUUGGGAGUUUGACCGAGAUGAUCUCACUAUUACGGUUGGUUACUACAUCACUAUUACGGUUAGUUACUACAUAACUAACCGUAAUAGUGAGAUCAUCUCAGUCAAACUCGCAACACAAUGAGUCGAGUACUUGAAUCUCACACUUUUGCAUUCACAACAGCUAAAUACCAAUGUGUGUUGUUCAUAUUUAUUGGAAGUUCAAUCUAUAAAUCAAGAUCAUCAGUAAAAUUAUGAAUAAAAGUGUAUGAAACACAAAACAUGAAAAUUAUGUAUAUGGAUGUUACCAUGUCAUGCUUCACGUAGUUUUUGACAAUCUCACCAUGUUCAUUUAUUCCAAGGUUGCCAUCAUGCUUUAACGGUGCAGUAACAAAAUGAUUCUCAAAAUAUACUUUACUAUCAUUCUGGACAUGCACUUGGUCUUGUAUACAAAGUUUGACUAAAUUUAUAUUAAAAAAUAUCAACAUCGUCUACAAUACUAAAGUUAUAUAGACGAAAAUUAAUUUUCAUCUAAUGCGUUUCGUAUUGUAAAUGUUGAUGUCUUUUCAUAUAAAAUUGGUCAAAAUUUACUAAGUUUGACUUCAAACAAAUUUCAUAUGCAAACUAAAAAGAAACAGAAGGAGCACCGAUGAUGAGAAUAAAUGAUGAUUUUAAAAGAAAAGAAUAGAAUAGAACCUAGCAGAGAACCUGUCCGGCCCCAGAUCAUCCAGAGUGUCAUCUUCGUGAACGCCCACUGCUAGGUACUUCACAGAUCCGCACACACUUUGCAAGGCCAAACUGAAGAAAGGUUAGUCACAUUUGAUUAUUACUGUAUUAUUUUUGGCUGCGCACCUGAUCAAAAUCUAAGUGAUGAAUCCCACUUUAGAUUACAAAAAAGACACUGUGUAUACUAAGAUGGCGCUGCAUAAGUCUGCAGGUGUUCUCUACCGUGGAUCUACCACUCUUACAAAAAUGCUGACGGAUCUUGCAGUAGAAUUCAGCCACACGACAACAACACGGUUCAGCCACAGGCCCACAAGGAGAACUUCUGACUUCUAAGUUCAGGCCAACAAGCAGUUCUAGGAGCUCUGCAGGUGCCAUCAGGAGCAGGGGAGAGGCGGCUGUAGCGACGUAUCCCGGCCGGAUCCGUGCGUGCUGGAGGCCGGGAAGGUGAUCGGAUCUAGAGUCCAUGGAGGAGACUUGCUCGGAUACACGGCCUUGCCGGCCACGGACUCCACAUGAACCGCCCUCCUUUUACCACAUAUAAAUAGGCCUCGAGCCCUCUACCGAAGCAUCCAAUCUUGGGGUCGUACAAUCUCGCCGUUCUACAACUCCGCCGACCGAAGUGCUCCAUACGCCGUCGUACAAUCUCGCCGUUCCACUAACAUCGCCGGACCGCCAGUGCUCCACCUGAGGUACGCCUGGUCUGGCUAAAUUCGGUUCUGUUGUUUUGAAAAAGACAUGAUCUUUCCUGUGUGUAUGCACUCUGCAACCAUAUAUGUCAUCGUUACCGACUGGAGCUGCCGCAAGAUCUUCUGCUUUGUACUCUGAAAGUUUGCUUGAGUUCACUUUUCAAAGCUAGCUACGGUACUGGAUGCUGGAAGGCCAAUCUGGCAUAAAGAGAGUGAAUAAUAUAUGCCAUGUUCUCUAUUACCUGAUCAGGUUUCGGCUCAAAUUGUGGUGCUUUUAUUCUAUGCAAUUUUAUUUUCUUGAUGAUGCUAUGUUCUGGCAUUCGUUCUUAAGGCUAGUAAUAAACUCUUAAGGCUAGUAAUAACUAUUUUAACCAAUGGUAAAUCUACUGAACAAACUCCUGUCUUGUACCCUUCCUUCUAUCUUAAGGCUAAUCUAUUCAUGGUUAGUUUUCCUUCAUGUACGAAGGUCAUCUCUUUUUUGUAUAUUUUUUCUUCAGUUUUGCUAAAGCACAUCUAGAUGUGCCAUAAGUAUUGCACAUCUAAAUCCUAUGUCAUUGAUCUUAUGCGGAGAUUCGUGUGAAUUUUUUUUUGGAUUUUUUCUUUUUCUUUCCAUACUUGAUUGUGUCAUUUAGAUGUGCAAUAACUAUAGCACAUCUAGAUGUGCCCUAGACAAACCCUUUUUUCUUCUCUUUCCUUUACAGUAAAACAUAGACCAUGCUCGCAUUCUUGCAACUUGCAAGUAGUUCCAGAUUUGUUCGUGGGUAUCAUUCGAGGUCAGAGUAAAUAUUUUGGCAGUGUGCCAAUCGAAAUCCAAAAAUCCAGUAGCUUAUGCAGCCUAUAAUUAGCUUUUACAGAUUAGUAGCUGAUUUCUCACAAUGAAUAGAUGGACACCCACUAUUUACAAUAUUAUUACUAUUUCUCCCUGUUUGAUUGAACUCCAUGCUGAUUACACCUUUGCACAAUAUAAAAUAUUGUUUGAGCUUUGCAGAAAAUGAAUGACAGUGCUGACUUGACCAUUGUUGUGGAUUUUGACAAUCGACCUUCAAAAAAUGCCAAAUUUUUUUAAUCGAAUUUUUUGGAGCCAUCACUUGCGUUAUCUUUGGUUUCUGAAUGUUUUGAAUCGAUUGUUCUGAAAACAGAUUGAUGUUGAUCCAUUGACAUGACCUACGCCGCCAACCAACUCGACAUUAUAUACCUCUGGUUUCUGAAUGUAUGAAUGAAAGAAAAUUUUAUUCGAUGAUGAUAAGCAAUCAGGGGAAUAUGAACAAACAAAAGUUGAUGAAACAUACGACUACCUCCCACUAGGUAAUUGUUUGAUUUAUUACUUUUGUAUCUUGCAUCUUAAAUGCCUUUUUGUUAUUUAAUAUUAUUAUUUGUGUGUGUGCAUGGCUAAUCCAUAUUUACACAUGGAUUUAUUCAAUAUUUUUUCAAAUUAUUUUACUUUUUGCAGAUUAUGAAAAAACAAUUACUGGCGAAGAUAGAUGAAAUAUAUGUCAAACAACAUCAACUGGUGUGCCUGCUAGAUGAAAAGGGGCAGCUAAACGAGUACCCUUACUUACAAGGAAACGUUCAAUUAUUGAUAUCCAUUAGUAAUGUCAGCAUGACAUGGUAACAUCCAUAUCCAUAAUUUUCAUGUUCUGGGUCCAAUAUAUAUUUAUUAGUAAUUUUACUAAUUAUCUUGAUUAUAGAAUGACCUUCCAAUAAAUAUGAACAACACAUUGCUAUUUAACUGUUGUGAACACAAAAAAAAUGUGAGAUUACAAUACUUGACUUAUUGUGUUCGGAGUUUGACCGAGAUGAUCUCACUAUUACGGCUGGUUACUACAUCACUUCUGAUCCUCUAUAUGAAAUGUCAUAAACUGAUCCUUCGCUUAUGUGUAUUAUUUCCGAUGACAUAUUUCAGCUACAUGGACUACAAUAUCAAUUGGACAUUUUUAAAAGUCAUAACUUGAUAAGCCACAACCUGAAAGACUUCGACGUUACUAAAUGGAAGAUCACAAAACAAUUAUGAAAGUCAAUUCAAAAAGACAAGUAUAAAGCAUCACAUAUGUUCUAUACUAAUAUAAGUAAUAUUGUGAUAUAUCUAGGGUACUCAAUUUUGUUUUAAUUAUACAGUUCACCUUGUGCACUACUAAUUCAAAAUGAAUUGCUCUAAAAUAUCUGUAGAAUUGAUUGAUUUGAUGUAGCUGCAAAGUUCACCUACUAACUCAUCUAAGCUCAUGUUAGAAAGAACAUAUAUUAGUAAUUGGUAUUUAUUUUCGACAAAUAAUGUGUUUAUUGCUUUUGAUUUUUUGUAUCAUAUGUACUUUCCAACAUUUUAAUUAACAUCAUUAGGAUCUCCAUCAAUGUCAUCGUCAUUUUGUUCAAUCAUUGUAGUCGUGGCCGCGGUGUUUGUUUUCCAACAUAAUAGUAUGCUCACUAACUUUAUACCUAAAAAAGAAGUGAUAAUUUCCCGUGCAACACAAACAACUAUUAGUUUUUUUUUGACAACUCAAACAACUAUUAGUAUAUUAUUGAACAUACACGAUUAUUACACAUGAAUUAUUACUUAUAUUGGCAUAGAACAUAUGUGACACUUUACAACCUGUCUUCUUGAAUUGGCUUUUGUAAUUGUUCUGUAAUCUUCCAUUUAGUAACAUUGAAGUCUUUCCAAUUCUGGCUAAUCAAGUUUUGACUUUUAAGAAUGUCCAAAUGAUAUUUUAGUGCUCGUAGGUGAAAAAUAAUUAAUGAUCAGAAACAAUACACAUAAGCGAAAUUUCACAUAAUAAGGGGUAAUAAAUGAUGUAGUAACUAUGAGAUCAUCUCAGUCAAACUCGUAACACAAUGAGUCAAGUACUUGAAUCUCACUCUUUUGCAUUCACAAGAGCUAAAUACCAAUGUGUGUUGUUCAUAUUUAUUGGAAGUUCAAUUUAUAAUCAAUAUAAUCGGUUAAAUUAUGAAUAAAAAUGUAUGAAACGCAAAACAUGCAAAUUACGUGUAUGAAUGUUAGAGCUUGUUCGGCAACACUUCACUCCUCAAAUUUCUCAACUCCGGUCCUUACUUCUCAGCUUCCAACCCUACUUGCAUAUUUUAGAAGUUUGCAAAACGGCCCCCAACUCCAGCUCUUCUACGUGUGCGCAUGGAGAAAGGGAAUCGGGGCAAGUGGAGGCUAUGAGAGAUUCGUGGGAUUAUGUUUUCUUUUUUUUCUUCUCAAACCGAUAAGUGGCGGGUAAAAAUUGUACAAGACGGAGUGUGUGGAGCAGCACUUUUCCAACUCCAGCAGUUUGUACUACGGGCCGCUCCGCUCCGGAUUAUGAAAUCCACGGAGUUACGCGUUCGGUGCAGUUCCGCCGGUUCCGUGGCGGAGUUGAGGAGUGGAGGGCUCCCGGGCACUUAAUUAUGUCCGGUAACAAAAAUUCUCAAAAUAUACUUUACUACCAUUCUGGAUGAGAAGUCAGAGACCCUUCCGCACGGCCGGUAUGGACUAGAGGUCGUUGUACCUGGCUGCCACGCGGCCAGCGCCGACAAAGUCCUUCAUCGCGGCCGCCCUGGACGAGGGCACCAGGAGUUACGUAUCUGAUCUUUUUUUUUUCCUUUCUUUUCUUUAAAGCUGUUAUAUACAUCUGAUCCUGGAGGAAUGGAAACGUAAAGUGAAGGAGCGGGAUUGAGCAGCUGGGAUUGGAAACAGAGCGGCCGUGGGGUUGCGUGCUUUAAGAUUGGAGUUGGAAUGGACCCGGUCUCAGAAUUUAUUUUCCCAUCUUCUCCGCCUCCGCCUCCGCCUCCUCCUCUGCCUAGCUCCACCUCCGCCGAUGGCAGCCGCCACUCCAAGCAAAAGCAACAAGGACGCCAUGGCCUUCGACUAUGCCAAAAUGCUCAUACCGAUCUCGCCUUCUGCUAUCAGGGCCGUUAGAGUUAUAAUAUAAGUCAUGUACCCCUUUUGUAUUUAUCCCGUUGUAUAAGGGGUUUCCUACAUAUGUUCCACACUUGUACAUGCAUAUAUAUCGGCCUAUGGCCUCAUGAGAAUACAAGUUGCUUAUACCUAACAUGGUAUUAGAGCUAGGUCAAUUUUUUGCACGCUGCAACUCGUGCGAUUGAUCCAUCCCGAUCGAAGCAGUCCCGCUCGAUCUCCAACCGGCCUCGUGUGAUUGAUCUCCUGAUCGAAGUCUUCCUCGAUCUCCUUCUCCUCCCCGUUCCGCUGCAGAUAGAAGCGCUCACCACGACCUCCCGUGAUCAAUGUGCUCCAGGCCCCGCUCCAGAUCGAAAUCACCUCCAACCGCCGGGCCUCCAGUCGUCUCAGUCGCCGAUUCCCAUCGCCCAGCUGCAGCCAGCUUCAAGUGACGAGGCGCUCAUCUUCCUGCUCGCCUCUACUUCUUUCUAGAUCGGAUCCCACCGCCUAGCUGCUCGAUUCUGCCCUCCAGAUCGGAUCGGGCUUCCACGCAGUCGUUGACCAAAAAAAAGUCUGCUGCAUCGGGCUAUGUUGCUGUCCCUUGCUGUCCGGUGAUCUUCGAUGGUACUAACUACACUGAGUUCACUGGCUUCAUGCGCAUUCACAUGCGUGGCAUCCGUCUCUGGGGCGUUCUUUCUGGCGAGGUCUGCUGUCCGCCACGUCCGGUUCCUCCGGUGGCUCCUAUUCCGCCGACUCCACCGGUUCUUCCUCCGGAUGCUAAUCAGGCCGCCAAGGAUGCGGCUAAGCUUGCUGAUGAGGCUGCUGAUCGUGCUUAUGAUGAGAGGGUUUUGGCUUAUGAGGAGGCUCUUCAAACGUAUCAUGGUGCUCUGUCUGUUUACACCCAGUGGCUUGAUGAUGAUGCUCGUGCUGCAGUUGUUCUCACUGCUAGUGUUCUGCCUCAGUUUGCUUUUGAGUUUCUGGGUCUUCCUACUAUCUUUGAGAUGUGGACCCGUCUUCGUCAGCGCUAUCAGCCCUCUGGUGAUGCCUUAUACCUUUCUGUGGUCCGUCAGGAGCAUGCUCUUCAGCAGGAUGACUCUACUGUUGAUGACUUCUAUGCACAGAGUUCUGCUAUCUGGCGCCAGCUUGAUUCUCUCCGCAGUGCUAGUUGUCGUACCUGCCCCUGUUGCCAGGCUGUCCAGGCCAAUUUGGAGUUUCAUCGCGUCUAUGAGUUCCUGUCUCGGCUCCGUAAGGAGUUUGAGCCCCGGCGUGCUCAGUUGUUUGCUCGUGGCCGUAUUUCUCUCAUGGAGGCGCUUUCUGAGAUUCGUGCUGAGGAGACUCGCUUACGUGGUGCUGGUUUGCUGGAGGUUCCCUCUGUGCUCGCUACUCGUGCUCCUACGCCACCUGCUGCACCGAUCCCCUCUCGCUCGAGUGCUCCGCCGCUCUUGCCCACUCCUUCCGGAAGCUCAGGUCGCCCCCGUCCACAUUGCGACUAUUGCAACAAUGAUGGUCAUCUUGAGUCUCAGUGCUACACGAAGAAGAAACACCUGCGCAAGGCGCGAUCAUCAUCUUCAGGGACUUUGUCAUCUACCUCGACAGCUUCAGCCAUUGCUUUGACUGACCAGGAUAUUCUGAGACUUAAGCGUCUGCUCGCAGCUUCAGGUUCUUCCUCGACGGGUACUGCUGGUUCUAUGACUGAUGCUUCCCGCACUGAGCAAUCACCCUCUACACAGUCAGGUACAUCCCCAUGGGUUCUGGACUCUUGAGCUUCUUUUCAUAUGUCUUCUCAUUCUUCCACUUUGUCCUCUCUUCGAUCACUGGAUUCUCCUGUUCAUGUCCUCACUGCUGAUGGUACUCCACUUUCUGUUGCUAGUAGAGGCAAUCUUACCACUCCUUCUUAUUCUGUUCCUGAUGUUGCUCAUGUUCCUCGACUUACCAUGAAUCUGUUUUCUGCUGGUCAACUUACUGAUUCUGGUUGUCGCGUCAUCCUUGACGUUGUCUCUUGUUCUGUCCAGGACCGUCGCACGCACACUCUGGUUGGGGCUGGCCCUCGCCGCCGUGAUUCUCAGGGUCUUUGGGAGUUGGACUGGCUUCAUGUUCCUUCCGCUGCCACCAUCGCCAGUUCUUCCGCUUCUGUCUCCUCCGUUACUGGUUCCUUCCAGCAGUGGCAUCAUCGACUUGGUCAUCUGUGUGGUUCUCGGUUGUCUUCUUUAGUUCGUCGAGGUCUUCUGGGGUCUGUCUCAGGAGAUGUCUCUUUAGAGUGUCAGGGUUGUCGUCUUGGCAAGCAGAUUCAGUUACCAUAUUCACAUAGUGAGUCAGUGUCCAAGCGUCCUUUCGAUUUAGUCCAUUCUGAUGUAUGGGGUCCGGCCCCUUUCGCUUCGAAAGGUGGUCAUAAAUACUAUAUUAUUUUCAUAGAUGAUUUCUCUCGUUACACAUGGCUUUAUUUCAUGACUUCUCGUUCUGAGGUGUUGUCUAUUUAUAAGCAUUUUGCUGCCAUGGUUCAUACUGUUGGGGAACGUUGCAGAAAACAAAAAAUUUCCUACGGUUUCACCAAGAUCCAUCUAUGAGUUCAUCUAGCAACGAGUGAUCAGAUUGCAUCUACAUACCUUUGUAGAUCACGCGCGGAAGCGUUCAAAGAACGGGGAUGAGGAAGUCGUACUCGACGUGAUCCAAAUCACCGGAGAUCCUAGCGCUGAACGGACGGCACCUCCGCGUUCAACACACGUACGGUCAACGUGACGUCUCCUCCUUCUUGAUCCAGCAAGGGGGAAGGAGAGGUUGAGGAAGAUGGCUCCAGCAGCAGCACGACGGCGUGGUGGUGGUGGAGCAGCAGUACUCCGGCAGGGCUUCGCCAAGCUCGUGACGGAGGAGGAGAUGUGUUGGGGAGGGGAGGGGCUGCGCCUUGGAUGUUCUUUGCAGCCCUUCCCUCACCCCUCUAUUUAUAGGGGAAGGGGGAAGGGGGCCGGCCCCCUCUAGAUGAGAUCUAGAGGGGGGGGGGGGCGGCCAAGGGGAGGGGGGCUUGCCCCCCAAGCAAGGGGGCGCCCCCCUUUAGGGUUUCCCCCAACCCUAGGCGCAUGGGCCCUAGGGGGAGUGGCGCCCCAGCCCACUUUGGGCUGGAUCCCUUCCUCAUACAGCCCAUAAGGCCCUCCGGGAGAGGUGGCCCCUCCCGGUGGACCCCCGGAACCCCUCCGGUGGCCCCGGUACAAUACCGAUAUGCCCCCGAACCUUUCCGGUGACCGUAUGACAACUUCCCAUAUAUAAUUCUUUACCUCCAGACCAUUCCGGAACUCCUCGUGACGUCCGAGAUCUCACCCGGGACUCCGAACAACUUUCGGGUUACUGCAUAUACAUAUCUCUACAACCCUAGCGUCACCGAACCUUAAGUGUGUAGACCCUACGGGUUCGGGAGACAUGCAUACAUGACCGAGAUGACUCUCCGGUCAAUAACCAACAGCGGGAUCUGGAUACCCAUGUUGGCUCCCACAUGCUCCUCGAUGAUCUCAUCGGAUGAACCACGAUGUCGAGGACCUAAUCAAUCCCGUACUCAAUUCCUUUGUCAAUUGGUACGUUACUUGCCCGAGACUCGAUCGUCGGUAUCCCAAUACCUUGUUCAGUCUCGUUACCGGCAAGUCACUUUACUCGUACCGUAAUGCAUGAUCCCGUGAUCAACCACUUGAUCACAUUGAGCUCAUUAUGAUGAUGCAUUACCGGGUGGGCCCAGAGAUACCUCUCCGUCAUACGGAGUGACAAAUCCCAGUCUCGAUUCGUGCCAACCCAACAGACACUUUCGGAGAUACCUGUAAUGUACCUUUAUAGUCACCCAGUUAUGUUGUGACGUUUGGCACACCCAAGGCACUCCUACGGUAUCCGGGAGUUGCACAAUCUCAUGGUCUAAGGAAAUGAUACUUGACAUCCAGAAAAGCUACAGCAAAGGAACUACACGAUCUUUGUGCUAUGCUUAGGUUUGGGUCUUGUCCAUCACAUCAUUCUCCUAAUGAUGUGAUCCCGUUAUCAAUGACAUCCCCAUGUCCAUAGCCAGGAAACCAUGACUAUCUGUUGAUCAACGAGCUAGUCAACUAGAGGCUCACUAGGGACACAUUAUGGUCUAUGUAUUCACACAUGUAUUACGAUUUCCAGACAAUACAAUUAUAGCAUGAAUAAUAGACAAUUAUCAUGAACAAGGAAAUAUAGUAAUCAUUUUAUUAUUGCCUCUAGGGCAUAUUUCCAACAGUCUCCCACUUGCACUAGAGUCAAUCAUCUAGUUACAUUGUGAUGAAUCGAACACCCAUGGAAUUCUGGUGUUGAUCAUGUUUUGCUCUAGGGAGAGGUUUAGUCAACGGAUCUGCUACAUUCAGGUCCGUAUGUACUUUACAAAUCUCUAUGUCCCCAUUUUGAACACUUUCACGAAUGGAGUUGAAGCGACGCUUGAUAUGCCUGGUCUUCCUGUGAAACCUGGGCUCCUUGGCAAGGGCAAUAGCUCCAGUGUUAUCACAGAAGAGAGUCAUCGGGACCGACGCAUUGGGUAUGACUCCUAGGUCGGUAAUGAACUCCUUCACCCAGACUGCUUCGUGUGCUGCCUCCGAGGCUGCCAUGUACUCCGCUUCACAUGUAGAUCCCGCCACAACGCUUUGCUUGCAACUGCACCAGCUUACUGCCCCACCAUUCAAAAUAUACACGUAUCUGGUUUGUGAUUUAGAGUCAUCCAGAUCUGUGUCGAAGCUAGCAUCGACGUAACCCUUUACGACAAGCUCUUCGUCACCUCCAUAAAUGAGAAACAUUUCCUUAGUCCUUUUCAGGUACUUCAGGAUAUUUUUGACCGCUGUCCAGUGUUCCAUGCCGGGAUUACUUUGGUACCUUCCUACCAAACUCACGGCAAGGUUUACAUCAGGUCUGGUACACAGCAUAGCAUACAUGAUAGACCCUAUGGCCGAGGCAUAGGGGACGACACUCAUCUUUUCUCUAUCUUCUGCCGUGGUCGGGCAUUGAGCCAAGCUCAAUCUCGUACCUUGCAAUACAGGCAAGAACCCCUUCUUUGACUGGUCCAUUUUGAACUUCUUCAAUAUCUUGUCAAGGUACGUACUCUGUGAAAGACCAAUGAGGCGUCUCGAUCUAUCUCUAUAGAUCUUGAUGCCUAAUAUAUAAGCAGCUUCUCCAAGGUCCUUCAUUGAAAAACACUUGUUCAAAUAGGCCUUUAUGCUUUCCAAGAAUUCUAUAUCAUUUCCCAUCAACAGUAUGUCAUCCACAUACAAUAUGAGAAAUGCUACAGAGCUCCAACUCACUUUCUUGUAAAUGCAGGCUUCUCCAUAAGUCUGCAUAAACCCAAAUGCUUUGAUCAUCUCAUCAAAGCGAAUGUUCCAACUCCGAGAUGCUUGCACCAGCCCAUAAAUCGAGCGUUGGAGCUUGCACACCUUGUCAGCAUUCUUAGGAUCGACAAAACCUUCCGGCUGCAUCAUAUACAGUUCUUCCUUAAGAUAACCGUUAAGGAAUGCCGUUUUGACGUCCAUUUGCCAUAUCUCAUAAUCAUAGUAUGCGGCAAUUGCUAACAUGAUUCGGACGGACUUCAGCUUUGCUACGGAAAAGAAUGUCUCAUCGUAGUCAACCCCUUGAACUUGUCGAUAACCCUUAGCGACAAGCCUAGCUUUAUAGAUGGUCACAUUACCAUUUGCGUCUGUCUUCUUCUUAAAGAUCCAUUUAUUUUCUAUGGCUCGCCGAUCAUCGGGCAAGUCAGUCAAAGUCCAUACUUCGUUUUCAUACAUGGAUCGUAUCUCGGAUUUCAUGGCUUCCAGCCAUUUGUCGGAAUCCGGGCCCGCCAUCGCUUCUUCAUAGUUCGAAGGUUCACCGUUGUCUAACAACAUGAUUUCCAAGACAGGGUUGCCGUACCACUCUGGUGCGGAACGUGUCCUUGUGGACCUUCGAAGUUCAGUAGGAGCUUGAUCAGAAGUAUCUUGAUCAUCAUCAUUAACUUCCUCUCUAAUUGGUGCAGGCACCACAGGAACAUUUUCCUGAGUUACGCCACUUUCCGGUUCAAGAGGCAAUACUUCAUCAAGUUCUACUUUCCUCCCACUUACUUCUUUCAAGAGAAACUCUUUCUCUAGAAAGGAUCCAUUCUUGGCAACAAAGAUCUUGCCUUCGGAUCUGAGGUAGAAGGUAUACCCAAUAGUUUCUUUAGGGUACCCUAUGAAGACGCAUUUUUCCGACUUGGGUUCGAGCUUUUCAGGUUGAAGUUUCUUGACAUAAGCAUCGCAUCCCCAAACUUUUAGAAAUGACAGCUUAGGCUUCUUCCCAAACCAUAAUUCAUACGGUGUCGUCUCAACGGAUUUCGACGGAGCCCUAUUUAAAGUGAAUGCGCCAGUCUCUAAAGCAUAGCCCCAAAAUGACAGCGGUAAAUCGGUAAGAGACAUCAUAGAUCGCACCAUAUCUAAUAGAGUGCGAUUACGACGUUCGGACACACCAUUACGCUGAGGUGUUCCAGGCGGCGUGAGUUGUGGAACUAUUCCACAUUUUCUUAAGUGUGUACCAAAUUCGUGACUCAAGUAUUCUCCUCCACGAUCUGAUCGCAAAAACUUGAUUUUUCUGCCACGUUGAUUCUCAACCUCACUCUGAAAUUCCUUGAACUUUUCAAAGGUUUCAGACUUGUGUUUCAUUAAGUAGAUAUACCCAUAUCUACUCAAGUCAUCAGUGAGGGUGAGAACAUAACGAUAGCCACCACGAGCCUCAACACUCAUUGGACCGCACACAUCAGUAUGUAUGAUUUCCAAUAGGUUGGUUGCUCGCUCCAUUGUUCCUGAGAACGGAGUCUUGGUCAUCUUACCCAUGAGGCAUGGUUCGCACGUGUCAAAUGAUUCGUAAUCAAGAGACUCUAAAAGUCCAUCUGUAUGGAGCUUCUUCAUGCGUUUGACACCUAUGUGACCAAGGCGGCAGUGCCACAAGUAUGUGGGACUAUCAUUAUCAACCUUACAUCUUUUGGCAUUCACACUAUGAAUAUGUGUAGCAUUACGCUCAAGAUUCAUUAAGAAUAAACCAUUCACCAUAGGAGCAUGACCAUAAAACAUAUCUCUCAUAUAAAUAGAACAACCAUUAUUCUUGGAUUUAAAUGAGCAGCCAUCUCGUAUUAAACGAGAUCCUGAUACAAUGUUCAUGCUCAAACUUGGCACUAAAUAACAAUUAUUGAGGUUCAAAACUAAUCCCGUAGGUAAAUGUAGAGGUAGCGUGCCGACGGCGAUCACAUCGACCUUGGAACCAUUCCCGAUGCGCAUCGUCACCUCGUCCUUCGCCAAUCUCCGCUUAUUCCGCAGCUCCUGCUUUGAGUUACAAAUGUGAGCAACUGCACCAGUAUCAAAUACCCAGGAGCUACUACGAGUAUUGGUAAGGUACACAUCAAUUACAUGUAUAUCACAUAUACCUUUCGUUUUGCCGGCCUUCUUGUCCGCUAAGUAUUUGGGGCAGUUCCGCUUUCAGUGACCACUUCCCUUGCAAUAAAAACACUCAGUCUCGGGCUUGGGUCCAUUCUUUGGCUUCUUCCCGGUAGCUUGCUUACCGGGCGCGUCAACUCCUUUGCCGUCCUUCUUGAAGUUCUUCUUACCCUUGCCUUUCUUGAACUUAGUGGUUUUAUUCACCAUCAACACUUGAUGGUCCUUUUUGACUUCUACCUCUGCUGAUUUCAGCAUUGCAAAUACUUCAGGAAUGGUCUUUUCCAUCCCCUGCAUAUUGAAGUUCAUCACAAAGCUCUUGUAGCUUGGUGGAAGCGACUGGAGGAUUCUGUCAAUGACCGCGUCAUCCGGGAGAUUAACUCCCAGCUGAGUCAAGCGGUUAUGUAACCCAGACAUAGUGAGUAUGUGCUCACUGACAGAACUAUUUUCCUCCAUCUUACAGCUGAAGAACUUGUCGGAGACUUCAUAUCUCUCGACCCGGGCAUGAGCUUGGAAAACCAUUUUCAGCUCUUCGAACAUCUCAUAUGCUCCGUGUCGCUCAAAACGCUUUUGGAGCCCCGGUUCUAAGCUGUAAAGCAUGCCGCACUGAACGAGGGAGUAAUCAUCAACACGUGUCUGCCAAGCGUUCAUAACAUCUUGGUUCUGUGGGAUGGGUGCGUCACCUAGCGGUGCUUCUAGGACAUAAUCUUUCUUGGCAGCUAUGAGGAUGAUCCUCAGGUUCCGGACCCAGUCCGUAUAGUUGCUGCCAUCGUCUUUCAGCUUGGUUUUCUCUAGGAACGCGUUGAAGUUGAGGACAACGUUGGCCAUUUGAUCUACAAGACAUAUUGUAAAGAUUUUAGACUAAGUUCAUGAUAAUUAAGUUCAUCUAAUCAAAUUAUUCAAUGAACUCCCACUUAGAUAGACAUCCCUCCAGUCAUCUAAGUAUAACAUGAUCCGAGUUGACUAGGCCGUGUCCGAUCAUCACGUGAGACGGACUAGUCAACAUCGGUGAACAUCUUCAUGUUGAUCGUAUCUUCUAUACGACUCAUGCUCGACCUUUCGGUCUUCUGUGUUCCGAGGCCAUGUCUGUACAUGCUAGGCUCGUCAAGUCAACCUAAGUGUAUUGCGUGUGUAAAUCUGUCUUACACCCGUUGUAUGUGAACGUUGGAAUCUAUCACACCCGAUCAUCACGUGGUGCUUCGAAACAACGAACUGUCGCAACGGUGCGCAGUUAGGGGGAACACUUUCUUGAAAUUAUUAUGAGGGAUCAUCUUAUUUACUACCACCGUUCUAAGUAAAUAAGAUGCAAAAACAUGAUAAACAUCACAUGCAAUCAAAUAAUAAUAGUGACAUGAUAUGGCCAAUAUCACAUAGCUCAUUUGAUCUCCAUCUUGGGGUCCAUGAUCAUCUUGUCACCGGCAUGACACCAUGAUCUCCAUCAUCAUGAUCUCCAUCAUCGUGUCUCCAUGAAGUUGCUCGCCAACUAUUACUUCUACUACUAUGGCUAACGCGUUUAGCAAUAAAGUAAAGUAAUUUACAUGGCGUUUCUCAAUGACACGCAGGUCAUACAAAAAAUAAA
rnacentral:lncRNA from 1 species